CUACAUUAAAAUGGCUGAAUGUCAACAAGUCGGUGUCCACGACGUCACAAGGUUAUUACAUCCAUGGUCCAGGCUCACGGUGGGCGGGGACUCAGUUGCCAUGACGAUGACGUCAGUGUUGGUGUCGAGUAACCAAAGGUCAAAAUAAAGACAAGUGAAUGAAAACGGAAGGAAACUUAACAGGCUGCACAGAAUCGGGCGGAAAAUCACCGAAACCAAUUCAAACUCCACAACAAUUGAGUGCGGCGGUCGUCGGCCCAAUGUGCUCAGGAAAAUACAAGACCAUGAUGCCUUCACGCUGGACUCUGGAGCCACUGCGGAUGCCGUGUCUUCAUGAUCAAAUGGCCAUUUUCCAUAUGGUUUCCUGCCCUUAUCCAUUUACUCCUGCAGCCAGAAGCAUUCCUCAGAGGGAUAUCUUGGAUAAGAGGGAAGGCCCUCAACAUGUCAAGUUCCUGCUGUCUAGAUUUCCCAUUACCUGUAAACAUUGUGGGUUUGUCCCUGGCUGUGCACGUGAACAAGGUAGUUUGGGGCUGUAAACAUCCCCGACUGGAAGCUGUCCAUCUGCAGAGCUUUCAGUCCGAUGUUUGCUGCUGCCAACUGCCUCCAGCUCCACAGAAAUGGAAGCACUAGCGAGAUGUGUAUUUAUUUAUCAGACCUGCUUCUUUACGAUCCAGACCUAUUUGUCCGCGGAGGUUGUAUUACAAGCAGGAGUCGUAGCUUGUGAACAGUAGAUCACGUUUUAACCAUAAUCUUUUUAGAUUUGGUGACCCAUGUCCUCGAUAUCAGUUAUUCUGACUCAGUUCAUGUAAACAUCCUACACUCAGCUGUUUUCAAUUGCAGCAGAGGCUGAGAGAAGGUUGUUUACUUGAACCGGCUGGAAGGGACACAGACAUUGAGCGAGCAUCAUGGUCCUCAUGGUCAAUAACACUUAUUUGUUUUUCAAGACCUCUAAUACACUGAAGUCUUCUUUUCCUCCUGUCCUGCCAUCGAAAAAGUCAUCCUGUUGAAAUGAAAACUAUGCAAGCCAACCUAAAGACGGGAUGUCCUGGUGUUUGCGUUCCUUGACUCAUACUGUCUCGUAUAAACAAUGCGUCUCUGUCAAGGUUAGGGCUGCAAAGAGCCGGAAACGUAUUUUAAUUUAAUUUUUUUACAUUUACCAUUUUCCAUUGAUCUCUUGAAAACACUGCCAGGUACACUGAACGUGCACUCACUCGUGCGGCCACAGAGUGCGCGUUGGAAAAUAAAGGUAUCGCGUAACAAAAUUCAAAACUAUUUUAAAGAUGUGUGGAAUGCAGCACAUGCCGUGUUUCUUUGCAAAGGAUCUAGUUGUAGCUUUUGUACACCGAGUAUUUUAUUCUCUCAACCCGAUUCAGGGAAAAUCAUAGCGAAUACCCUAUUUUCUUUGUUUUUGAUCAAGACAAGAAUAAAGUUCUACCCAAAUUGAGUCAAAUGUAUUUUUUUUCAAAUUUCUAUUAUAAAUGUUUGCAUGCAUAUCUGCAUAUGACAAGUUAAAUUACCAUAUAUUCCCUUCAAUUCCCAGAAAAGGUUUCCAUUUUUGCAAAACUCGACAUAAAGUUGCCAAAGAUAAAUGUUUUGUGGCAUAUGUAACGGGUGUUUGACUCCACUUGCCAUUGCUAAGAGUCAUGACAGGGUGUCACGUGGGUGCCCUCUAGUGGGUCCCUGCGGGUGCGACACCCUGUAGCUACAAAGUUAGUCUGCUGCAGGGUGUGUAACCGGUAAGUUGGCGGUCGAAAAGUCUCCUUGCCAAUGCUAUAUCAACUAGCUCAUAUCUUUUAUUUUUGUUUAACAGUUAUGAUGCCACGAGGUAGUCUAUGAAGACGCUAACCUCCUGUAUGUUCGGCAGGUGUCUUAACGUCACGAAAUAAACGGCCGAUUGACGCCGAAUGUGGUCCGUGUCCUGGUGAUAAUUCUAAAAACACAACGCAAGAGAGAGUACAACCGCUACACAUAUAUGGUUGAUAAUUAUUAAUUACAUUACAGGGCAUUUAGCUGAUGCUUUUAUCCAAAGAGACAUUGCAUUUGUAACCCAUGGCUUUUUAUAUUUUUGCCCAGGGAGCAAUUAGGGGUUAGGUGUCUUGCUCGGGGACACUUUGACAUGGGACAUGGAGCAGCUGGGGCUCGAACCACCAGCCUUGUGGUUCCCAGCGCAUCCUCUCUUCUCUAUGCGCCACCAUCAAACCGCCUGCAGUUCAUCUCCAUCAGACCUCCCGGCCCUGCCGUCAAAUUGACCUAAGCCAAGAAGGAUGUUAACGACAAAGAGAGUUUAUUUUUUACCAGAAUUUGUGGCAUCACAUGUGCUUCUGCAAUGAAGACAAGUGCUUGUAAACUGCAGUAUGUUUUUUAAUGAAUAGGAUCCUUCAUUGACUUGAGUUGUGUACACUCAAGACAUGUUGUGCAAAUCUACGUAUCAUAAUCAAUGUUGAAAUUAAUAAAACUGAAC
ensembl:lncRNA